rnacentral:rRNA from 1 species
AACGAACGCUGGCGGCAUGCCUAACACAUGCAAGUCGAACGAGACCUUCGGGUCUAGUGGCGCACGGGUGCGUAACGCGUGGGAACCUGCCCUUAGGUUCGGAAUAACUCCCCGAAAGGGGUGCUAAUACCGGAUAAUGUCUUCGGACCAAAGAUUUAUCGCCUUUGGAUGGGCCCGCGUUGGAUUAGCUAGUUGGUAGGGUAAAAGCCUACCAGGGCGACGAUCCAUAGCUGGUCUGAGAGGAUGAUCAGCCACACUGGGACUGAGACACGGCCCAGACUCCUACGGGAGGCAGCAGUGGGGAAUAUUGGACAAGGGGGGAAGGCCUGAUCCAGCAAGGCCGCGGGAGUGAUGAAGGCCUUAGGGUUGAAAAGCUCUUUUACCCGGGAUGAUAAUGACAGUACCGGGAGAAUAAGCUCCGGCUAACUCCGUG